CCCGCCACUAUACCAGUCUCUGUGUCUGGGUAUAUUCCAGUGGUGAGCUUAUAGCAACCUCGUCUUAGGAAACAGGGCUCCUCUGCAUGUGAUCUGCCCUGUGCCGUAAGGCAGAGAACACUG